UACGGAGGAUGCAAGCGUUAUCCGGAUUCAUUGGGUUUAAAGGGUGCGUAGGCGGGCUAUUAAGUCAGUGGUGAAAUCCUGCAGCUUAACUGCAGAACUGCCGUUGAUACUGAUAGUCUUGAGUUUGGUUAAGGUAGGCGGAAUGUGUAAUGUAGCGGUGAAAUGCUUAGAUACUACACAGAACACCAAUUGCGUAGGCAGCUUACUGAGCCGACACUGACGCUGAGGCACGAAAGCAUGGGUAGCGAACAGGA
rnacentral:rRNA from 1 species